rfam:Microgenomates (Gottesmanbacteria) bacterium GW2011_GWB1_49_7 TY48_C0002, whole genome shotgun sequence.
GUCAACGACCCCCGGCUGAAGUCCGGGGGCUUGCGGGGAAACCCGUAAGCCCGGGUUGACCAGACUCGGCCUCCGCAAGGAGGCUCCGUUAGGGACGAAUACAUAGGCACUCCGGGAUGCGCGAGCCAGUCCCGGACCCUGCGGACGGUCAUUAAACAGAAAGAGGGUCUAUUUCCGUGUGGCCGUCAUACAAACCGUCCUCUAACCUUGUCGAGGCUCACAUUAC